UUGAACGCUGGCGGCAUGCCUUACACAUGCAAGUCGAACGGUAACAGGUCUUCGGAUGCUGACGAGUGGCGAACGGGUGAGUAAUACAUCGGAACGUGCCCGAUCGUGGGGGAUAACGCAGCGAAAGCUGUGCUAAUACCGCAUACGAUCUACGGAUGAAAGCAGGGGACCGCAAGGCCUUGCGCGGACGGAGCGGCCGAUGGCAGAUUAGGUAGUUGGUGGGAUAAAAGCUUACCAAGCCGACGAUCUGUAGCUGGUCUGAGAGGACGACCAGCCACACUGGGACUGAGACACGGCCCAGACUCCUACGGGAGGCAGCAGUGGGGAAUUUUGGACAAUGGGGGAAACCCUGAUCCAGCCAUGCCGCGUGCAGGAUGAAGGCCUUCGGGUUGUAAACUGCUUUUGUACGGAACGAAACGGUGCGGGCCAAUACCCCGCAUCAAUGACGGUACCUGAAGAAGAAGCACCGGCUAACUACGU
rnacentral:rRNA from 1 species